rnacentral:rRNA from 1 species
GUGAGGAAUAUUGGACAAUGGGCGCAAGCCUGAUCCAGCCAUGCCGCGUGCAGGAAGACGCAUCUAUGGUGUGUAAACUGCUUUUGUACGGGAAGAAACACUCCCUCGUGAGGGAGCUUGACGGUACCGUAAGAAUAAGGAUCGGCUAACUCCGUGCCAGCAGCCGCGGUAACACGGAGGAUCCAAGUGUUAUCCGGAAUCAUUGGGUUUAAAGGGUCCGUAGGCGGUUUAAUAAGUCAGUGGUGAAAGCCCAUCGCUCAACGAUGGAACGGCCAUUGAUACUGUUAGACUUGAAUUACAAGGAAGUAACUAGAAUAUGUAGUGUAGCGGUGAAAUGCUUAGAUAUUACAUGGAAUACCAAUUGCGAAGGCAGGUUAGUACUUGUGGAUUGACGCUGAUGGACGAAAGCGUGGGGAGCGAACAGGAUUAGAAACCCCUGUAGUCC